rnacentral:rRNA from 1 species
GGGUGAGUAACACGUGAGCAACCUGCCUCUGAGAGAGGGAUAGCUUCUGGAAACGGAUGGUAAUACCUCAUAACAUAACGAAGCCGCAUGACUUUGUUAUCAAAGAUUUAUCACUCAGAGAUGGGCUCGCGUCUGAUUAGAUAGUUGGUGAGGUAACGGCUCACCAAGUCGACGAUCAGUAGCCGGACUGAGAGGUUGAACGGCCACAUUGGGACUGAGACACGGCCCAGACUCCUACGGGAGGCAGCAGUGGGGAAUAUUGCACAAUGGGGGAAACCCUGAUGCAGCGAUGCCGCGUGGAGGAAGAAGGUUUUCGGAUUGUAAACUCCUGUCUUAAAGGACGAUAAUGACGGUACUUUAGGAGGAAGCUCCGGCUAACUACGUGCCAGCAGCCGCGGUAAUACGUAGGGAGCGAGCGUUGUCCGGAAUUACUGGGUGUAAAGGGAGCGUAGGCGGGAUGGCAAGUCAGAUGUGAAAACUAUGGGCUCAACCCAUAGACUGCAUUUGAAACUGCUGUUCUUGAGUGAAGUAGAGGUAAGCGGAAUUCCUGGUGUAGCGGUGAAAUGCGUAGAUAUCAGGAGGAACAUCGGUGGCGAAGGCGGCUUACUGGGCUUUUACUG